GUACACUCCUACGGGAGGCAGCAGUGGGGAAUUUUGGACAAUGGGCGAAAGCCUGAUCCAGCAAUGCCGCGUGUGUGAAGAAGGCCUUCGGGUUGUAAAGCACUUUUGUCCGGAAAGAAAUCCUUGGCUCUAAUACAGUCGGGGGAUGACGGUACCGGAAGAAUAAGCACCGGCUAACUACGUGCCAGCAGCCGCGGUAAUACGUAGGGUGCGAGCGUUAAUCGGAAUUACUGGGCGUAAAGCGUGCGCAGGCGGUUUGCUAAGACCGAUGUGAAAUCCCCGGGCUCAACCUGGGAACUGCAUUGGUGACUGGCAGGCUAGAGUAUGGCAGAGGGGGGUAGAAUUCCACGUGUAGCAGUGAAAUGCGUAGAGAUGUGGAGGAAUACCGAUGGCGAAGGCAGCCCCCUGGGCCAAUACUGACGCUCAUGCACGAAAGCGUGGGGAGCAAACAGGAUUAGAUACCCCAGUAGUCCCAUGA
rnacentral:rRNA from 1 species